CAGUAGCCGCGGGAAUACAGAGGGUGCGAGCGUUAAUCGGAUUUUCUGGGCGUAAAGCGUGCGUAGGCGGCUUCUUAAGUCGGAUGUGAAAUCCCUGAGCUUAACUUAGGAAUUGCAUUCGAUACUGGGAAGCUAGAGUAUGGGAGAGGAUGGUAGAAUUCCAGGUGUAGCGGUGAAAUGCGUAGAGAUCUGGAGGAAUACCGAUGGCGAAGGCAGCCAUCUGGCCUAAUACUGACGCUGAGGUACGAAAGCAUGGGGAGCAAACAGGAUUAGAUACCCCUGUAGUCCCUGUCUCUUAUAC
rnacentral:rRNA from 1 species